GACGAACGCUGGCGGCGUGCUUAACACAUGCAAGUCGAACGGAAAGGCUCCAGCUUGCUGGAGUACUCGAGUGGCGAACGGGUGAGUAACACGUGGGUAAUCUGCCCUGCACUCUGGGAUAAGCCUGGGAAACUGGGUCUAAUACUGGAUAUGACCUUUCUCCUUAUGGGGUUUGGUGGAAAGUUUUUCGGUGUAGGAUGAGCCUGCGGCCUAUCAGCUUGUUGGUGGGGUGAUGGCCUACCAAGGCGACGACGGGUAGCCGGCCUGAGAGGGUGAUCGGCCACAUUGGGACUGAGAUACGGCCCAGACUCCUACGGGAGGCAGCAGUGGGGAAUAUUGCACAAUGGGCGGAAGCCUGAUGCAGCGACGCCGCGUGAGGGAUGACGGCCUUCGGGUUGUAAACCUCUUUCAGCAGGGACGAAGCGUAAGUGACGGUACCUGCAGAAGAAGCACCGGCUAACUACGUG
rnacentral:rRNA from 1 species